rnacentral:rRNA from 1 species
GACGAACGCUGGCGGCGUGCUUAACACAUGCAAGUCGAACGGAAAGGCCCUGCUUUUGUGGGGUGCUCGAGUGGCGAACGGGUGAGUAACACGUGAGUAACCUGCCCUUGACUUUGGGAUAACUUCAGGAAACUGGGGCUAAUACCGGAUAGGAGCUCCUGCUGCAUGGUGGGGGUUGGAAAGUUUCGGCGGUUGGGGAUGGACUCGCGGCUUAUCAGCUUGUUGGUGGGGUAGUGGCUUACCAAGGCUUUGACGGGUAGCCGGCCUGAGAGGGUGACCGGCCACAUUGGGACUGAGAUACGGCCCAGACUCCUACGGGAGGCAGCAGUGGGGAAUAUUGCACAAUGGGCGGAAGCCUGAUGCAGCAACGCCGCGUGCGGGAUGACGGCCUUCGGGUUGUAAACCGCUUUCGCCUGUGAGGAAGCGUGAGUGACGGUAAUGGGUAAAGAAGCACCGGCUAACUACGUG